CCUACGGGGGGCAGCAGUGAGGAAUAUUGGUCAAUGGACGAGAGUCUGAACCAGCCAAGUAGCGUGAAGGAUGACUGCCCUAUGGGUUGUAAACUUCUUUUAUAUGGGAAUAAAACGUUCCACGUGUGGGAUUUUGUAUGUACCAUAUGAAUAAGGAUCGGCUAACUCCGUGCCAGCAGCCGCGGUAAUACGGAGGAUCCGAGCGUUAUCCGGAUUUAUUGGGUUUAAAGGGAGCGUAGGUGGAUUGUUAAGUCAGUUGUGAAAGUUUGCGGCUCAACCGUAAAAUUGCAGUUGAAACUGGCAGUCUUGAGUACAGUAGAGGUGGGCGGAAUUGGUGGUGUAGCGGUGAAAUGCUUAGAUAUCACGAAGAACUCCGAUUGCGAAGGCAGUUCACUGGACUGCAACUGACACUGAGGCUCGAAAGUGUGGGUAUCAAACAGGAUUAGAUACCCUUGUAGUC
rnacentral:rRNA from 1 species